rnacentral:rRNA from 1 species
UGAAUACGUUCCCGGGCCUUGUACACACCGCCCGUCACACCAUGGGAGUGGGUUGCACCAGAAGUAGAUAGCUUAACCUUCGGGAGGGCGUUUACCACGGUGUGAUUCAUGACUGGGGUGAAGUCGUAACAAGGUAACCCUAGGGGAACCUGGGGUUGGAUCACCUCCUUACCUUAA